UGCAGUCGACGGAGCACCCUUGAUUGAGGUUUCGGCCAAAUGAUAGGAAUGCUUAGUGGCGGACUGGUGAGUAACGCGUGAGGAACUUGCCUUUCAGAGGGGGACAACAGUUGGAAACGACUGCUAAUACCGCAUGACGCAUUUUGAUCGCAUGGUCGAAAUGCCAAAGAUUUAUCGCUGAAAGAUGGCCUCGCGUCUGAUUAGCUAGUGGGCGGGGUAACGGCCCACCAAGGCGACGAUCAGUAGCCGGACUGAGAGGUUGACCGGCCACAUUGGGACUGAGAUACGGCCCAGACUCCUACGGGAGGCAGCAGUGGGGAAUAUUGGGCAAUGGGCGCAAGCCUGACCCAGCAACGCCGCGUGAAGGAAGAAGGCUUUCGGGUUGUAAACUUCUUUUAAGUGGGAAGAGUAGAAGACGGUACCACUUGAAUAAGCCACGGCUAACUACGUGCCAGCAGCCGCGGUAAUACGUAGGUGGCAAGCGUUGUCCGGAUUUACUGGGUGUAAAGGGCGUGCAGCCGGGCAUGCAAGUCAGAUGUGAAAUCUCAGGGCUUAACCCUGAAACUGCAUUUGAAACUGUAUGUCUUGAGUGCCGGAGAGGUAAUCGGAAUUCCUUGUGUAGCGGUGAAAUGCGUAGAUAUAAGGAAGAACACCAGUGGCGAAAGCGGAUUACUGGACGGUAACUGACGGUGAGGCGCGAAAGCGUGGGGAGCGAACAGGAUUAGA
rnacentral:rRNA from 1 species